UACGGGGGGGGCAAGCGUUGUUCGGAAUUACUGGGCGUAAAGGGCUCGUAGGCGGCCAACUAAGUCAGACGUGAAAUCCCUCGGCUUAACCGGGGAACUGCGUCUGAUACUGGAUGGCUCGAGAUUGGGAGAGGGAUGCGGAAUUCCAGGUGUAGCGGUGAAAUGCGUAGAUAUCUGGAGGAAUACCGGUGGCGAAGGCGGCAUCCUGGACCGAGAUUGACGCUGAGGAGCGAAAGCUAGGGGAGCAAACGGG
rnacentral:rRNA from 1 species